UUCAAUCCUCUGCCCAAGAAUCGGUUUCGGAAACAAAUUACACCAAAUGAAACUAUGCUAUUGCAUUCGCUAGAUGGUAAUCGAGCCAUCUUGCUUCAUUUUGAUGAGACUGCUUUCGAUGUUUCGGAGAACUGCUUUGUAGCCGUGGCAUUUCAAAUGAAGUUUAGCAUCUAGAAUCUUGUCAGAUAUGAGUUCAUAAGUCGUUAGGAAGAGGGAAAGGAAAUAUCUUACAGGCGUGCAAGACUGUUAUAUGCUAGCGUCGCUUGUUGGAGACGCGCUGAAAGCUGCAUUACUUCAGCUGAUAGUGAAUCUGCUCUGCUCUGUUCUUGCACAAGUUGUCCCUAGAAAACGAAUAUA
rnacentral:lncRNA from 1 species